GGAAACUUGGAUUAAUGCCCCGUAGUACCGUAUUUCSGCAUCGUUAUACGGUUAAAGCCUUCSGGCGGUACAAGAUGGCCAUGCGUCCCAUUAGCUUGUUGGUAAGGUAACGGCUUACCAAGGCUACGAUGGGUAGGGGCCCUGAGAGGGGGAUCCCCCACACUGGUACUGAGACACGGACCAGACUCCUACGGGAGGCAGCAGUGAGGAAUAUUGGACAAUGGAGGAGACUCUGAUCCAGCCAUGCCGCGUGCAGGAAGAAUGCCCUAUGGGUAGUAAACUGCUUUUAUACGGGAAGAAAAAGAGCUACGUGUAGCUUACUGACGGUACCGUAAGAAUAAGGACCGGCUAACUCCGUGCCAGCAGCCGCGGUAAUACGGAGGGUCCGAGCGUUAUCCGGAAUUAUUGGGUUUAAAGGGUCCGUAGGCGGGCCGAUAAGUCAGGGGUGAAAGUCUGCCGCUCAACGGUAGAACUGCCUUUGAUACUGUCGGUCUUGAGUUAUAGUGAAGUUGCCGGAAUAUGUAGUGUAGCGGUGAAAUGCAUAGAUAUUACAUAGAACACCGAUUGCGAAGGCAGGUGACUAACUAUAUACUGACGCUGAUGGACGAAAGCGUGGGGAGCGAACAGGAUUAGAUACCCUGGUAGUCCACGCCGUAAACSAUGGAUACUAGCUGUCCGGAGCCUUGAGUUCUGGGCGGCCAAGCGAAAGUGAUAAGUAUCCCA
rnacentral:rRNA from 1 species